CGAAUAUUCCGCAAUGCGCGAAAGCGUGACGGAGCAAUGCCGCGUGCAGGAUGAAGCCCCUCGGGGUGUAAACUGCUGUCAGGGGCCACCAAGAUCUGAGGAACCCCAGAGGAAGGACCGGCUAACUUCGUGCCAGCAGCCGCGGUAAUACGAAGGGUCCAAGCGUAGCGCGGAAUCACUGGGCUUAAAGGGUGCGUAGGCGGGCAGGCAAGUGCCUUGUGAAAGCCCUCGGCUUAACCGAGGAAUUGCUUGGUAGACUGCAUGUCUUGAGGUCGAAAGAGGCUGCCGGAACUGUAGGUGUAGCGGUGAAAUGCGUAGAUAUCUACAGGAACGCCAAAGGAGUAAUCAGGCAGCUGGUUCGAUUCUGACGCUGAGGCACGAAAGCGUGGGUAGCGAAC
rnacentral:rRNA from 1 species